AACGAACGCUGGCGGCAUGCCUAACACAUGCAAGUCGAACGAGACCUUCGGGUCUAGUGGCGCACGGGUGCGUAACGCGUGGGAACCUGCCCUUAGGUUCGGAAUAACUCCCCGAAAGGGGUGCUAAUACCGGAUAAUUUCUUCGGACCAAAGGUUUAUCGCCUUUGGAUGGGCCCGCGUUGGAUUAGCUAGUUGGUAGGGUAAAAGCCUACCAAGGCGACGAUCCAUAGCUGGUCUGAGAGGAUGAUCAGCCACACUGGGACUGAGACACGGCCCAGACUACUACGGGAGGCAGCAGAGGGGAAUAUUGGACAAUGGGCGAAAGCCUGAUCAAGCAAUGCCGCGUGAGUGAUGAAGGCAUUAGGGUUGUAAAGCUCUUUUACCCGGGAUGAUAAUGACAGUACCGGGAGAAUAAGCUCCGGCUAACUCCGUG
rnacentral:rRNA from 1 species